AUGUAUGUCACAAAUGUAAAUAUGCAGGAAUGAUACAAAGAAGGUUAGUAUGGGCCCUGCGCAAGGAUGACAAGCAAAUUCGCGAAGUGUUACAUAUUUUU
rnacentral:snRNA from 1 species